GUGCUUGCUUCAGCAGCACACAUACUAAAACUGGAAUGAUACAGAAUAGAUUAGCAUGGUCUCUGCUCAAGGAGUCUUCUGGAGCUAGAUAGAGGUUGCACAACAUU
ensembl:snRNA U6 U6 spliceosomal RNA